rnacentral:rRNA from 1 species
GACGAACGCUGGCGGCGUGCUUAACACAUGCAAGUCGAACGAUGAUCUCCCGCUUGCGGGGGUGCUUAGUGGCGAACGGGUGAGUAAUACGUGAGUAACCUGCCCUUGACUCUGGGAUAAGCCUGGGAAAGCGGGUCUAAUACUGGAUACUACUUCAUGCCGCAUGGUGGGGGGUGGGAAGGGUUUUACUGGUUUUGGGUGGGAUCACGGCCUAUCAGCUUGUUGGUGGAGUAAUGGCGAACCAAGGCGGCGACGGGUAGCCGGCCUGAGAGGGUGAACGGCCACACUGGGACUGAGACACGGCCCAGACGCCGACUGGAGGCAGCAGUGGGGAAUAUUGCACAAUGGGCGGAAGCCUGAUGCAGCGACGCCGCGGGAGGGAUGACGGCCUUCGGGUUGUAAACCUCUUUCAGCAGGGAAGAAGCCACAAGUGACGGUACCUGCAGAAGAAGCGCCGGCUAACUACGUG